GACGAACGCUGGCGGCGUGCCUAAUACAUGCAAGUCGAACGCUGAAGGAGGAGCUUGCUUCUCUGGAUGAGUUGCGAACGGGUGAGUAACGCGUAGGUAACCUGCCUGGUAGCGGGGGAUAACUAUUGGAAACGAUAGCUAAUACCGCAUAAGAGUAGAUGUUGCAUGACAUUUGCUUAAAAGAUGCAAUUGCAUCACUACUAGAUGGACCUGCGUUGUAUUAGCUAGUUGGUGGGGUAACGGCUUACCAAGGCGACGAUACAUAGCCGGCCUGAGAGGGGGAUCGGCCCACCUGGGAAUGAGAAACGGCCCAGAAUCCUACGGGAGGCAGCCGUAGGGAAGCUUCGGCAAUGGACGGAAGUCUGAACGAGCAAAGCCGCGUGAGUGCAGAAGGUUUUCGGAUCGUAAAGCUCUGUUGUAAGAGAAGAACGAGUGUGAGAGUGGAAAGUUCACACUGUGACGGUAUCUUAACAGAAAGGGACGGCUAACUACGUG
rnacentral:rRNA from 1 species